GCUAUGCUGCAAUCCGCACCGAUGUCCCUUGGCCGCUUGCCAAUAUUCUUCUUAUCCUUGUCGAUAGGUCCCCAGUUAUCAUAGAAACCCUAAACAAACUCCAAUUUGCCAACUCCCAAAACCUCUUUAAAUUGUUGGCAGAUAUCCUCUAUCCGUACAAUCAGAUUAACAUAACCACGUAUGCAUUCAGCAUACUCAUCCUUCUAAACUCUGAAUUUCAACUAGAGAAGUAUCCUCUAUUCCAACAACAAUCAACAAUACCAGCCUUUUCCUCUCUUACAGAAAAUCCAGUUCACCAAUAUAUCACUGAUUUUUAGCAACGAUUGCCUUAGUCUUCUCAAAAUCCUAUGAAGAAAAAAAAACCCCCCAACGCUUUGUCUUUUCGAGCGUGAAGCUAGCUCUCCGACCCUUAAAACCCUGAUUUUCUCCUCCUCAUUUCUUAACCUAUCCUCUCCUUUAACCCUGAGAAGAUCCUAUUCUUC
rnacentral:lncRNA from 1 species